GUGCUUGCUACGGCAGCACACCUACUAAAAUUGGAUCGAUACAGAGAAGAUUAGCAUGGCCCCUGGGAGGAGGGGCCAUGCUAAUCUUCUCUGUAUCGUUCCAAUUUU